UACGUAGGGUGCAAGCGUUGUCCGGAAUUAUUGGGCGUAAAGAGCUCGUAGGCGGUCUGUCGCGUCGGCUGUGAAAACCUGGGGCUCAACCCCGGGCCUGCAGCCGAUACGGGCAGACUAGAAUUCGGUAGGGGAGACUGGAAUUCCUGGUGUAGCGGUGAAAUGCGCAGAUAUCAGGAGGAACACCGGUGGCGAAGGCGGGUCUCUGGGCCGAUACUGACGCUGAGGAGCGAAAGCGUGGGGAGCGAACAGG
rnacentral:rRNA from 1 species